CCCCUCUCAAGGUCUCAAUUGGAGAGUUUCUAAUACUCUACCAGUCUCGACUAUGGGAGGGAGAGUCAAACAGAGGCAUACCCAUUCCAUUCCUAGCUUGGGCAGUGGCUAGCGAGUGGAAGGCAAUCUGCUCUAAGU